AAUACACUUCCCUUUGCAGUUGGUGGGAGAAUUGUGAAAUAUUUACAGUGUUGGGCCACAAAUGCUUUACGUGUAAGAUCAAAGGGAAGGAUGUAGUCUCUGUGCUUCUCUGCUGUCAUAUUUAGGACUGAAACAGGUGUCUUCAGCAGCCAGUCCCAGGAAGGCUCAAUAAAGACAUGGGGCUGGGACACACAAUCUGCCUCUGUAGUGCAUGCCAGAAUUGGGUGGAAACCUGCAAACGCAGCAGAACCUGCCUUGAAAUAGCCCGUAACAAAGGCUGAUCACAGCCCAGUGCCUACAAGCUACAGAGUCUGCACCACUCUCCAGAGCAGGUCAAGCUUUCUGUGGAUUGAGGCAGAAUUGUGGCUCACAGAGAUGUAAUGUGAUUGAAAAAGGUGGAGGAAGGAGGCACGUAGCAUCAGGAGAUGUAAAGAGGUGAGGACAUGGCCUCACACUGUCAAGUUACUGCUUCAGGGCUAUUCCAUCCACAGAUUGCCCAAGGCAAGGGGACUGUGGCCACAGAGCCAAUCAGGAAGAUGUAAGAGCUGGUAGAGUUGUCUGUGUUAACACAGAACCUGAUAUCUCAUUAUAUGAUUUUCAAAACCCCAAAGGAUGUGAAACCUCAUGAGUUAUGAAGCAUAAUGUGUUUGUAAAGUUUUACUGUGUUUUAUUUUUUAACUUUUUGAGAGUUUCUAAGCUUUUCCCCACAUUUCCUCAAGAGUUUUUGAGAAAGUGGGGAGCAAAAAGAUAUUUUUUUUCCAACUAGCAAAAAACAGAAGUGAUGACUGCCAUGCAUAAUUUAAUUUGAUAUUCUUUCCUCUUCAAAACUUAUGUUUACAGCUGCCUUUCAUGUUGUUCACAUUAUCUUUGAUGAGUACACAAGUACACUCACAUUUACCAGUUUUUCUUGAGCUGUUUACCAUACAUACUGCUCUGUGAGGCAGGCUAACCAGAAAGAAAUAUUUCUGUUUACAGGAUGGCAGAUAGAGACCACGUACCUCAUCACAUAUCUCAUGUACUCCAAGCGUAAUAGCAAAGAUCCAGUUUCAG
rnacentral:lncRNA from 1 species